GGAUUGGUGCCUUCGGGAACUCUGACACAGGUGCUGCAUGGCUGUCGUCAGCCCCGUGUCGUGAGAUGUUGGGUUAAGUCCCGUAACGAGCGCAACCCUUGUCCUUAGUUACCAGCACGUUAUGGUGGGCACUCUAAGGAGACUGCCGGUGACAAACCGGAGGAAGGUGGGGAUGACGUCAAGUCAUCAUGGCCCUUACGGCCUGGGCUACACACGUGCUACAAUGGUCGGUACAAAGGGUUGCCAAGCCGCGAGGUGGAGCUAAUCCCAUAAAACCGAUCGUAGUCCGGAUCGCAGUCUGCAACUCGACUGCGUGAAGUCGGAAUCGCUAGUAAUCGUGAAUCAGAAUGUCACGGUGAAUACGUUCCCGGGCCUU
rnacentral:rRNA from 1 species